rnacentral:tRNA from 1 species
AGCCCCGUCGUCUAGGUGGUUAAGGAUGCAGGGCUCUGGACCCUGAGACGCCGGUUCAAAUCCGGCCGGGGCUA